rnacentral:tRNA from 1 species
AAAGAAUUAGUUAAAAUAUAACAUUAGUAUGUCAAACUUAAAUUAUUAUUUCAUAUAAUAUUCUUUU